rnacentral:rRNA from 1 species
AGAGUUUGAUCCUGGCUCAGGACGAACGCUGGCGGCGUGCUUAAAACAUGCAAGUCGAACGGACUUCUCAUGAAGCUUGCGAUUGAGAAGUUAGUGGCGGACGGGUGAGUAACGCGUGGGCAACCUGCCCCUGAGCCCGGGAUAACAGUUCGAAAGGACUGCUAAGACCGGAUAUACUUGCGGUGAAGCAUUUCACUGCAAGGAAAGGGAACGCUCAGGGAUGGGCCCGCGUCCCAUUAGCUAGUUGGUGAGGUAACGGCCCACCAAGGCGACGAUGGGUAGCCGGCCUGAGAGGGUGAACGGCCACACUGGGACUGAGACACGGCCCAGACUCCUACGGGAGGCAGCAGUUGGGAAUCUUCGGCAAUGGGCGCAAGCCUGACCGAGCAACGCCGCGUGAGUGAUGAAGGUUUUCGGAUUGUAAAGCUCUGUCUUCCGGGACGAUAAUGACGGUACCGGAGGAGGAAGCCACGGCUAACUACGUGCCAGCAGCCGCGGUAAUACGUAGGUGGCGAGCGUUGUCCGGAAUUACUGGGCGUAAAGGGCGCGUAGGCGGCCUGUCAAGUCAGAUGUGAAAUCCCCGGGCUUAACCCGGGAACUGCAUUUGAAACUGGCGGGCUUGAGGGCAGGAGAGGAAAGCGGAACUCCCAGUGUAGCGGUGAAAUGCGUAGAUAUUGGGAGGAACACCAGUGGCGAAGGCGGCUUU